CAACAGCUCAAAUUUGAAAUCUGGCUUCGGCCCGAGUUGUAAUUUGCAGAGGAUGUUUCUGGCGCGGUGCCUUCCGAGUUCCCUGGAACGGGACGCCACAGAGGGUGAGAGCCCCGUAUGGUUGGACACCAAGCCUGUGUGAAACUCCUUCGACGAGUCGAGUAGUUUGGGAAUGCUGCUCUAAAUGGGAGGUAAAUCUCUUCUAAAGCUAAAUACCGGCCAGAGACCGAUAGCGCACAAGUAGAGUGAUCGAAAGAUGAAAAGCACCUUGAAAAGGGGGUUAAAUAGUACGUGAAAUUGUUGAAAGGGAAGCACUUAUGACCAGACUUGGGCCGGGCGGCUCAUCAGGGGUUCUCCCCUGUGCACUCCGCCCGGCACAGGCCAGCAUCGGUUCUCGUGGGGGGAUAAGACCGUCAGGAACGUAGCACCCUCCGGGGUGUGUUAUAGCCUGGCGGACGAUACCCCCGUGGGGACCGAGGUCCGCGCUCCGCAAGGAUGCUGGCGUAAUGGUCAUCAGUGACCCGUCUUGAAACACGGACCAAGGAGUCGUCCAUUAGAGCGAGCGUUUGGGUGUAAAACCCGCACGCGUAAUGAAAGUGAACGCAGGUGAGAGCUUCGGCGCAUCAUCGACCGAUCCUGAUGUUCUCGGAAGGAUUUGAGUAAGAGUUUUAACGGACGGACCCGAAAGACAGUGAACUAUGCUUGUAUAGGGUGAAGCCAGAGGAAACUCUGGUGGAGGCUCGCAGCGGUUCUGACGUGCAAAUUGAUCGUCAAGAU
rnacentral:rRNA from 1 species